ACCAAUUAUUCAUUUACUAUGAAAAAUCGAUUUACUUCUCAAAUGUGGUAUGUGGCCAUAUGUUUUCAAGUCGUGUAGGCCUAAUCAAUGUAAGGGAUACCACGGCGCCUCCCACUCGAUGCAUAAAAACGCCUAUUUCUUGCAUCUCAAAGACAGCGUUCAACGUUACUAACGUUAGUUUACUUGCCUAUGAUAUUCUGCUUGUGUUUCGGAUUGCCAAAUGUGUUAACUACAUUGCUGGGAGGAACUCAGAGUCUCAACACAUCCACCCUUUAAAGGACAUGGAGAAAGGCAAAGGGUAACAUCAUGUGCAGUACCGAGAUGAGAGGGCGAAGGAGCAUGUGAAGAUGUCCCUAAAGACUGCUAAAAGAUGGUGCUUUAGACUGUUCGCUGUUGUACUGUUCUUAGUCUCCUACUACUGCUUCCACGUCUUCCUCCAGAGUUAUGGAGGCACCAGCAAGUCUCCUCUGACUCCUAGCAAGUCACUGUGUGGUGGCUGGCUAAAGCAGAAGAAGUGGGAGAGCCUCAAUUUUAACAUUAGCAGACAAACAGAGCUCUUCUUCAAACUGGAUGAUUUCUUCUGGCGACAACAUCAGUCCACACUAGCGUUGCCCUACGGUAUUAAAGGAAGUGAGUUACUGCUGCUGAGAGUGUUGGCCAUUAUUGCCAAUUACAAAAUGCCGGCCAGCAUUGAUCGUCUAGACUGCAGAACAUGUGCAGUCAUAGGAAAUGGGUUUGCCAUUAAAAACAGCUCCUUGGGGGCCGUCAUCAACGAGUAUGAUGUGGUGAUCCGGCUGAAUGACGCCCCCGUCAGAGGUUAUGAGGAUGACGUGGGGAACAAGACCACUAUGCGUCUCUUCUACCCUGAGUCGGCCUCCUACAACCCCAGCAUGCACAACGACCCCGACACCCUCAUGGUCCUAGUGCCUUUCAAACAGCAGGACCUCCGCUGGCUCAAAGAGAUCCUGUACGACGAGAAGAGGGUGAGGAAAGGUUUCUGGAAGCCCCCUCCACAGAUCUGGCUGGGCAGGACCAGUCGCAUCCGGGUGCUGGACCCUCACUUCCUGCAUGGGACGGCCAGCAGUCUGCUACAAAUCCCACUUCAACCAAAGAGCAAACAGCGAGCCCCUGUGUCAGAGACUGAGGCUGUGCACUCUUUGGACUGCUGAAACGCAAACACAACUGGCUGGUGUCUGUGCCGAGGAAACAGUGGGAAAGAAGGGGUCCUGCAGGCGAUCAGCGGGGCAGCCCGAGCAUAGCACUCCUCCUCCAUCUGCAUGGCCCUACAGGCCAGAUGAGCUCAACCUUGGCUGGCUGUCUCCUGGCUGGCUGGGUGUCUGGCUGGAGGGCGUAGGCUGUUUACUCUGAGCGAGAACAGGAACAGGAACCAUGCCGAGCUCUCGAUCCUGGCCCCGUUCCCCUCAUUCUUCUCUCCCCUGUCGCUUUUCUGGGUCACAGGGGUCCGACCGCAGCCCUACAUCCUCAAUGCCAAACUCUCACCCCUCCCCGUGGCUGCCAUGUUGGCAGUCAUCCAAAUGCCCUGUGAGAAGUCGGCAGCAGCAAGCAGUCCCCCUGGUUACAAUACAGAGGCUGACUGAGCUAAGGAGAGCUAGAGGGCUAACUAAUGCCCCUGUCAGUCAGACAGCCGCCGCCGCCACCCCCACCCCCUUCCAAAACAAAGGUCUGACUCCCACCAAUCUGGUCUGGUUGGCGAACAGCAGUGACAAUAUUCACCUCACCAAGGCUCCAUGGGCCAAUGUCCAAACUAUGCGAGGCACUACAGAAGUUGGAGCGCUCGGUGACCGACCACAUGAGACUAAUGCUCACAGAAUGUCAGAUUUAGCCCAGCCAGGCUCAGGAAGAAAAGGCACUUACACUAAGUGCAUUAGGAACCAAGUUUGGAGGAAUGUCCCGUACAGUGUGAUGAAGAGAGGAGAAGCACAGGUUUGAGAACUUGGCUGUUCCGGUCCAGUUUCUCUCUCCUUAGGGCACAAGUAAUGGCUCUCCAGGUCAGACAGCAUGCUUGUAAAGCCCUGCAGGACUCACUCACUCACAGACAGACAUUUACCUUGGAAAGGCUCCUGCACUCAGUAUUGGUUGGCCAUUUUUAAGGUUUUAUGUAUUGUUGUUUUAUUUUAUAUUUUAUUUGGCUGAUUUAUACUGCAGACUAGAGGUCGACCGAUUAUGAUUUUUCAACGCCGAUACUGAUACCGAUUAUUGGAGGACCAAAAAAAGUCGAUACCGAUUAAUUGGCCGAUUUUUUACAAAAAAAUAUUUUAUUUGUAAUAAUGACAAUUACAACAAUACUGAAUGAACACUUAUUUUAACUUAAUAUAAUACAUCAAUAAAAUCAAUUUAGCCUCAAAUGAAAAAAAAACAUGUUCAAUUUGGUUUAAAUAAUGCAAUAACGAAGUUUUGAAGAAGAAAGUAAAAGUGCAAUAUGUUCCAUGUAAAAAAGCUAACGUUUAAGUUCCUUGCUCAGAACAUGAGAACAUAUGAAAGCUGGUGGUUCCUUUUAACAUUAGUCUUCAAUAUUCCCAGGUAAGAAGUUUUAGGUUGUAGUUAUUAUAGGAAUUAUAGGACAAUUUCUCUCUAUACGAUUUGUAUUUCAUAUACCUUUGACUAUUGGAUGUUCUUAUAGGCACUUUAGUAUUGCCAGUGUAACAGUAUAGCUUCCGUCCCUCUCCUCGCCACUACCUGGGCUCGAAACAGCAACACAUCGACAACAGCCACCCUGUUGAAGCAGCGGCCCAUCGCUCCUCAAAAGCCGCUGCUCUUGCAGAGCAAGGGGAACAACCACUCCAAGUCUCAGAGCGAGUGACGUUUGAAACGCUAUUAGCGCGCACCCCGCUAACUAGCUAGCCAUUUCACAUCGGUUACACCAGCCUAAUCUCGGGAGUUGAUAGGCUUGAAGUCAUAAACAGCUCAAUGCUUGAAGCACAGCGACGAGCUGCUGGCAAAACGCACGAAAGUGCUGUUUGAAUGAAUGCUUACGAGCCUGCCAUCGCUCAGUCAGACUGCUCUAUCAAAUCAUAGACUUAAUUAUAACAUAAUAACACACAGAAAUACUAGCCUUAGGUCAUUAAUAUGGUCGAAUCUGGAAACUAUCAUCUCGAAAACAAGACGUUUAUUCUUUCAGUGAAAUACGAAACCGUUCUGUAUUUUAUCUAACGGGUGGCAUCCAUAAGUCUAAAUAUUCCUGUUACAAUACACAACCUUCAAUGUUAUGUCAUAACUACGUAAAAUUCUGGCAAAUUAGGCGGCCCAAACUGUUGCAUAUACACUGACUCUGCGUCCAAUGAACGCAAGAGAAGUGACACAAUUUCACCUGGUUAAUAUUGCCUGCUAACCUGGAUUUCUUUUAGCAAAAUAUGCAGGUUUAAAAAUAUAUACUUCUGUGUAUUGAUUUUAAGAAAGGCAUUGAUGUUUAUGGUUAGGUACAGUCGUACAACGAUUGUGCUUUUUUCGCAAAUGCGCUUUUGUUAAAUCAUCCCCCAUUUGGCGAAGUUGGCUGUCUUUGUUAGGAAGAAAUAGUCUUCACAGAGUUCGCAACGAGCCAGGUUAGCAGGCAAUAUUAACUAAAUAUGCAGGUUUAAAAAUAUAUACUUGUGUAUUGAUUUUAAGAAAGGCAUUGAUGUUUAUGGUUAGGUACACAUUGGAGCAAGACAGUCCUUUUUCGCGAAUACGCACUGCAUCGAUUAUAUGCAACGCAGGAGACGCUAGAUAAACUAGUAAUAUCAUCAACCAUGUGUAGUUAACUAGUGAUUAUGAUUGAUUGAUUGUUUUUUAUAAGAUAAGUUUAAUGCUAGCUAGCAAUUUACCUUGGCUUUUUACUGUUUUCGCGUAACAGGCAGUCUCCUCGUGGAGUGCAAUGUAAUCAGGUGGUUAGAGCGAUGGACUAGUUAACUGUAAGGUUGCAAGAUUGAAUCCCCAAGCUGACAUGUUAAAAAUGUUUCGUUCUGCCCCUGAACAGGGCAGUUAACCCACCGUUCCUAGGUCGUCAUUUGAAAAUAAGAAUUUGUUCUUAACUGACUUGCCAAGUUAAAUAAAGUUGUGGGGUGAAAAAAAAAAAUCGGACAACUCUGUGUCCAAAAAUAGCGAUUUCAGAUUGUUAUGAAAACUUGAAAUCGGCCCUAAUUAAUCGGCUAAUCCGAUUAAUCGGUCGACCUCUACUGAGGUAAACAACUUAGGGCCAAAAAACUGAUAUUCACCAAGUCAAAUUAAUUUAUUGUGUUUGAGGUUUCACGAUGCUUGUAUCUAAGUAGAAAGUAGAUACUUUUAAGAUUGUUCUAUACAUCAGUUGGUGUUUCUAUAAGCUUCAAUAUGAGGUCCUAAACGUAGCAAGAUGGGGCAUCCUUGUAGCUAUGUGGGCUAAUAUAGUCAAAACGUUUGCCUUGGAGUAAAUUGAAUCAAUGGUUUCGCUAAUGGGAAGUUGAGCAAGGCAUUAUCUCUGGAAUCAAAUCAAAUGCUAUUUGUCAAAUGCGCCGAAUACAACAGGUAGACCUUAUAGUGAAAUGCUUACUUACAAGCCCUUAACAACAAUGUAAUUAUACAUAAAAUAACAAAUAAUUAGAGAGCAGCAGUAAAAUAACAAUAGCGAGGCUAUAUACAGGGGGUACCGGUACAGAGUCAAUAUGCGGGGGCACCGGUUAGUCGAGGUAAUUGAGGUAAUAUGUACAUGUAGGUAGAGUUAUUAAAGUGACUAUGCAUAGAUAAUAACAGAGAGUAGCAGCAGUGUAAAAGAGGGGGGGGGGGAUUCAAAUAGUCAUUUGAUUAGAUGUUCAGGAAUCUUAUAGCUUGGGGGUAGAAGCUGUUUAGAAGCCUCUUGAGCGUAGACUUGGAGCUCCGGUACCGCUUGCCGUGCGGUCGCAAAGAGAACAGUCUGUGACUAGGGUGGCUAGAGUCUUUGACAAUUUUUAGGGCCUUCCUCUGACACCGCCUGGUAUAGAGGUCCUGGAUGGCAGGAAGCUUGGCCCCAGUGAUGUACUGGGCUGUACGCACUACCAUUUGUAGUGCCUUGCGGUCGGAGGCCGAGCAGUUGCCAUACCAAGCAGUGAUGCAACCAGUCAGGAUGCUCUCGAUGGUGCAGCUGUAGAACCGUUUGAGGAUCUGAGGAACCAUGCCAAAUCUUUUCUGUCUCCUAAGGGGGAAUAGGUUUUGUCGUGCCCUCUUCAUGACUGUCUUGGUGUGCUUGGACCAUGAUAGUUUGCUGGUGAUGUGGACGCCAAAGGAACAAAGCUCUCAACCUACUCCACUGCAGCCCCGUCGAUGAGAAUGGGGGUGUGCUCGGUCCUCCUUUUCCCGUAUUCCAUAAUCAUCUCCUUUGUCUGGUUCACGUUGAGGGAGAGGUUGUUGUCUUUGCACCACAUGGUCAGGUCUCUGACCUCCUUCGCUUAGUGAUUAGCUUUGAGGGCACUAUGGUGUUGAACGCUGAGAUGUAGUCAAUGAAUAGCAUUCUCACAUAGGUGUUGCUUUUGUCGAGGUGUGAAAGGGAAGUGUGGAGUGCAAUAAAGAUAGCACCAUCUCUGGAUCCGUUGGUGCAGUAUGCAAAUUGGAGUGGGUUUAGGGUUUCUGGGAUAAUGGUGUUGAUGUGAGCCAUUAGCAGCCUUUCAAAGCACUUCAUGGCUCCAGAUGUGCUACAGGUCAGUGGUCAUGAGGUAACAACAGGGCCUGGCCUAUGUGUUUUUCUUUUUAAAUAGAAACUGUUUGUUAGGUCUUAAGCCUGUGUUAAAAGAUGUUUAUAAUGAUUAAAUGACAAAAAGCAGUUGGGAUUGUGUAGAAUUGUGUUUUGGAAAUAAAGGUAGACAUGGUUUUAGAAAGGAAGUGGUAAUUAUUUAAUUCAGUACAGACAUUUGUAUGUGGAUUAACCCCAUACCCGUUAUAAAUUUUGCCAAGAGAGAACUUUUUCCCCCAAAACUGUACUGUUUACAUGAAUUCUGAUUAUUUCCAGGGAUACACAACAUCCUGAAAUAUAUGUAGAUAUCUUUGUUAGAAAGAAUACUAUAUUUCCCUUGAUGGGAGUGAUGCAUACCACCCUGCAUACCACUGCUGGCUUGCUUCUGAAGCUAAGCAGGGUUGGUCCUGGUCAGUCCCUGGAUGGGAGACCAGAUGCUGCUGGAAAUGGUAUUGGAGGGCCAGUAGGAGGCACUCUUUCCUCUGGUCUAAUAAAAUAUCCCAAUGCCCCAGGGCAGUGAUUGGGGACACUGCCCUGUGUGUAGGGUGCCGUCUUUCGGAUGGGACGUUAAACGGGUGUCCUGACUCUCUGAGGUCAUCUAAGAUCCCAUGGCACUUAUCGUAAGAGUAGGGGUGUUAACCCCGGUGUCCUGGCUAAAUUCCCAAUCUGGCCCUCAAACCAUCAUGGUCACCUAAUAAUCCCCAGUUUACAAUUGGCUCAAUCAUCCCCCUCCUCUCCCCUGUAACUAUUCCCCAGGUCGUUGCUGCAAAUGAGAACGUGUUCUCAGUCAACUUACCUGGUAAAAUAACGGUAAAAUAAAAAAUAAAUAAAAAAUGCUGGAAGUAAAAAAUAGCUCAAUUUACCCUACUCUUUGGAAAAGGGGAUUUUAUUCCCCCUCACAGCUCUCAUGUGGAAACAAUUUCCCUCUGCUGCCUCUGUGAACAUUGGUAAUCAUUAUUUACACACAGCAGUUUUAUUUAACCUUUAUUUAACUCGGCAAGUCAGUUAAGAACAAAUUCUUAUUUACAAUGACAGCAUCCCAGAAGGCAAAAGGCCUCCUGUUGGGACGGGGGCUGGGAUUAAAAAUACAAAAUAAAAUAAAAUAAAAAUAUAGGACAAAACACACAUCACGAACAGAGCGACACCACAACACUAGAUAAAGAGAGACCUAAGAUAACAACAUAGCAUGGCAGCAACACAUGAAAACACAGCAUGGUAGCAACACAACAUGGCAGAAGAACAACAUGGUAGCAGCACGAACAUGGUACAGACAUUAUUGGACACAGACAACAGCACAAAGGGCAAGAGGGAAGAGACAACAAUACAUCACGUGAAGCAGCCACAACUGUCUGUAAGAGUGUCCAUGAUUGAGUCUUUGCAUGAAGAGAUGGAGAUACAACGGUCCAGUUUGAGUGUUUUUUGCAGCUCGUUCCAGUCGCUAGCUGCAGCGAACUGAAAAGAGGAGCUACCCAGGGAUGCGUGUCCAUGAACGGAAUCAAACCAGGGACACCCCUCGCAUGAAACUGGUGCACCCCACUACAGGGAUCCUAGCCGUGUUCGUGGCACUCAACUACUGUGAUGUGGUCCACAUAGCUGGGUUUGGA